rnacentral:lncRNA from 1 species
UGGCAAGCGUCAAGCUGUCUACACUUCUUCCCAUUGUGAAUCAUCCACUUUACGAAGAUGCAGACUUGAGAUUGGCAGCUGAUGAGUAUUUCUUCAAGACUCACUUGGCGACUCCCAAUUCUUAGGAAUUGGGAAAAUUUUUACACACACACACGCAUAGACACACAUACACACACACAAACUCGUCCUCAUUUUCAUGCUGGAAGUUAAAAAAAAUGACAAUAACCAUCCAGAAAUGACAAUACGUACCUGUUGCCUCUGGAGCAAGCAGACCUCUGAAAACUGAAAAAUGCAAAAGCCAGUUUUUCCCAAAGUGACAAAUGUGUCACAUAUUUAUGAUGUGUGUGUGUAUUCCAGUAAAACUACUAGGCCUGGUUGCAGUAUGCCUGAAAUCUGGGAUGUGGAAGACCCUUCCAAUGCAGCUAACCCUCCCUUAUGUAGCGUCCUGCUCAAAGAUGCCAAGCCUUACUUCACCACAGUAUUUCAGAAUAGUGUGUACAGAGUAUUGAGGGUUAACUGAGAAGGAAACUACCCAUUACACUAUGGCACAAUGUGGUGUGUCAAAAACAAUCACCCUUUGGCUUAUUUACAUUAAUAAAAAUCACAAGCUUUA